AUGAAUCUACUAAGUUGGAAUUGCCGGGGUGGGGGGAAGCCCCGGACAGUUCGUGAUGUUGCGAUGUUGGUGCAACCACAUUCCCCCAUGUUUGUGUUCUUGUGUGAAAUGCGACAAAAAUCAAGUAAGAUGAAAAGAAUUAGAGGACAUCUUGGCCUUCAAGGUUUUGUCGGUGUGGAUAGCAAUGGAUUAAGUGGUGGACUAGCCUUGUUUCGCACGGAUCAUACCAAGUUACGGUUCUAG
rnacentral:rRNA from 1 species